rnacentral:rRNA from 1 species
ACCGGCGGCCCGAGUGGUGGCCACUAUUAUUGGGUCUAAAGGGUCCGUAGCCGGUUUGGUCAGUCUUCCGGGAAAUCUGACGGCUCAACCGUUAGGCUUUCGAGGGAUACUGCCAGGCUAGGGACCGGGAGAGGUGAGAGGUACUACAGGGGUAGGAGUGAAAUCCUGUAAUCCUUGGGGGACCACCUGUGGCGAAGGCGUCUCACCAGGACGGCUCCGACAGUGAGGAACGAAAGCUGGGGGCGCAAACCG